UACGUAGGGUGCGAGCGUUAAUCGGAAUUACUGGGCGUAAAGCGUGCGCAGGCGGUUUUGUAAGCCAGAUGUGAAAUCCCCGGGCUCAACCUGGGAAUGGCAUUUGGGACUGCAAGGCUUGAGUGCGGCAGAGGAGACUGGAAUUCCUGGUGUAGCAGUGAAAUGCGUAGAUAUCAGGAGGAAUACCGAUGGCGAAGGCAGGUCUCUGGGCUGACACUGACGCUCAGGCACGAAAGCGUGGGGAGCAAACAGG
rnacentral:rRNA from 1 species